rnacentral:lncRNA from 1 species
UUAUUGUUAUUAUUAUAUGAUGGAGAGAGUGAGACCUAAGCGCGCACGCUUCGAGCACUGAACCGUUUGACUUAUAAAUCGAACACGAUGUAUCGAGUAAACCUGCUGAAAAACCUAGAAAAAACAACGCAUUUUAUGAAUACGAUUGACAACAAUAAUGGCCAAGCACGAAUCAUACUUUGAUCCUCUUGUCGUUUGUAUUCUGAUGCCAUAGUGUAGAUCAAGUAACUAUACGGUAUUAAUCAGAUAAUGUCAUAUGACUAAGCAGUAUUUCCCAAGCGUAAACUUCAGUUAUAAUCAUAAUGAGGCAGUAUAUAACUAAUUUUAUUAAACGUAAAAUCAUUACAAUUGUUCAACACUUAUCUGGUGUACAAUAUAAGACAUAUAAGGU